ACACGCAUGACACACUGCAUAUCAAUAAGCGGAGGAAAAGAAACUAACAAGGAUUCCCUUAGUAACGGCGAGUGAAGCGGGAAGAGCUCGAAUUUGAAAUCUUCAAGGUUUGACCUUGACGAAUUGUAGUUUAAAGAAGUGUUUUCGGUUAGAGAGUUCGGUAAAGGUUCUUUGGAAUAGGACAUCAUAGAGGGUGAGAAUCCCGUAUUUGACCGUUAUUUUCUAGCUGUGUGAUACACUUUCAAAGAGUCGGAUUGUUUGGGAAUGCAGUCCAAAAUGGGUGGUAAAUUUCAUCUAAAGCUAAAUAUUGGCGAGAGACCGAUAGCGAACAAGUACCGUGAGGGAAAGAUGAAAAGAACUUUGAAAAGAGAGUUAAACAGUACGUGAAAUUGUCAAAAGGGAAGCGUUUGACACCAGUGUUGUUUUUCCGAAAAUCAAUUACGAAUGUUUUAUUUUUGAGGAGUUAUGACUUCAUCGGCUUGCUUCUCUCUUUACGAAACUUUCUUAAUGCACUUUUCGGUUAACAAGUCAACAUCAAUUUCUUUUGUUGUAAAAGGGUAUGAGGAAGGUGGCUUUCUUUUCGGAGAAAGUGUUUAUAGCCUUGUAGCCCUCUGCAAUCGGAGAGAUUGAGGUCUGCAGCGUAGAUCCUUCGGGGUUAGAUACAGUUUGUGCUAAGUUAUAGCUUUUCAUAGACAACUUGUUGACUAUGUUAGUCUUGUAGCUUACUCGCUUAUGCUAUUUUACCUACGCUUAGGAUGUUGACUGAUAUGUAGUCGUA
rnacentral:rRNA from 1 species